GGUUAAGCGACUAAGCGUACACGGUGGAUGCCCUGGCAGUCAGAGGCGAUGAAGGGCGUGCUAAUCUGCGAUAAGCGCCGGUAAGGUGAUAUGAACCGUUAUAACCGGCGAUACCCGAAUGGGGAAACCCAGUGUGAUUCGUCACACUAUCAUUAACUGAAUCCAUAGGUUAAUGAGGCGAACCGGGGGAACUGAAACAUCUAAGUACCCCGAGGAAAAGAAAUCAACCGAGAUUCCCCCAGUAGCGGCGAGCGAACGGGGAGGAGCCCAGAGCCUGAAUCAGCAUGUGUGUUAGUGGAAGCGUCUGGAAAGGCGCGCGAUACAGGGUGACAGCCCCGUACACAAAAGCGCAUGUGCUGUGAGCUCGAUGAGUAGGGCGGGACACGUGGUAUCCUGUCUGAAUAUGGGGGGACCAUCCUCCAAGGCUAAAUACUCCUGACUGACCGAUAGUGAACCAGUACCGUGAGGGAAAGGCGAAAAGAACCCCGGCGAGGGGAGUGAAAAAGAACCUGAAACCGUGUACGUACAAGCAGUGGGAGCCCCACCACUAAGCCAGUGGUGAACUCCACAUACGCAUCCUUUGCUGAGGAUACGGUUAACGGAGCGAAAGCGACGUUCAACCUCAAAAGAAGCAGAGGGGGCUUAGUGGUGGGGUGACUGCGUACCUUUUGUAUAAUGGGUCAGCGACUUAUAUUCUGUAGCAAGGUUAACCGAAUAGGGGAGCCGGAGGGAAACCGAGUCUUAAU
rnacentral:rRNA from 1 species